rnacentral:misc_RNA from 1 species
GAAGCAAUUGUUGGAGGUUGAAGUAUGUGACGUAUUGGAGUUUGCUCCGCCACAAUUCGUAUUCUCCUCACAACUCUUGGCUCAGCCAAACACCUAAUGGACCUAGGACUGUUUGCUGUACUUUCUCCAGCGAGCUCAAUGUCAGGAAAAUUGAUCUGUGAAAGGCUUGAGAUGCUAUUAAAAAUCCUAGCAAUGAAAGGAGUCUUGGAAUGUUCAGUUUCUUUAUCCUCAAUGCCUGGCCAUUCAGCUUCUACGAGGAGAGGUCUACUGACAUCAGGGGUUGGUCGUUGUUCCUCAAUCUCAAACUCUUCCUCAACAAUCUCAUAAUACUGUAAUGGUGGCUCCAUCAUAUGAUAAACAAGUGUGUAAACCAGAAUUACAGCAACCCAUUGGGCAAAAGAAACAUAAGCUACUCCACUUGAGUGGCAAUGAGCUCCAAAUGGGCUAUCUUUCGUAUGACACACGGAUCCAACAAUCGCUAGAGGAAGAUUUCCAGUGUUUCCAAAGGCAGUCAUGAUAAUGGUGAAUCUGUUAUACUGCGGCGGUGGGUGACAUAUUGCCACAACUAACAGCCCAAGAAAGAAACCAAUGAUUGUACUAACCAGUACAUUAACAGGAAUAAACCACCAACGAGCAAAGUUUUCAAGUGUAAUGCUUUCACCAAGCUCAGUAAAGAUUAGGCAGGGCAAGAACAGGGCAAAAACUAGCUUGCUUAGGAGCUUAAAUGUUGCUCUGGGGAUGAUUUGGGUUUUUGGGUGUGCAAGAAUCAAUCCUAUAAUUAUAAGGCAGAGAAGUUUCAUCAAAGGCACUAUAGAAGUAACCAAAUUUUCACCCACCACUAGACCUCAUAUUGUUUUCAUAGAAAGCAGUUAUGUAACCAGACAUCUGCCCUUCAAAUAUUUGAAGAUCAAGAAAAAUAUUUCUUCAGAUCCGAGAAUCCAACUGAGAAGACUCAAGAAACGGGGAGAGAGAUGAGGAGAAU